AUUGAACGCUGGCGGCAGGCCUAACACAUGCAAGUCGAGCGGAUGAGGGGAGCUUGCUCCCUGAUUUAGCGGCGGACGGGUGAGUAAUGCCUAGGAAUCUGCCUGGUAGUGGGGGAUAACGUUCCGAAAGGAACGCUAAUACCGCAUACGUCCUACGGGAGAAAGCAGGGGACCUUCGGGCCUUGCGCUAUCAGAUGAGCCUAGGUCGGAUUAGCUAGUUGGUGAGGUAAUGGCUCACCAAGGCGACGAUCCGUAACUGGUCUGAGAGGAUGAUCAGUCACACUGGAACUGAGACACGGUCCAGACUCCUACGGGAGGCAGCAGUGGGGAAUAUUGGACAAAGGGCGAAAGCCUGAUCCAGCCAUGCCGCGUGUGUGAAGAAGGUCUUCGGAUUGUAAAGCACUUUAAGUUGGGAGGAAGGGCUGCUGGUUAAUACCCUGCAGUUUUGACGUUACCAACAGAAUAAGCACCGGCUAACUUCGUG
rnacentral:rRNA from 1 species